rnacentral:rRNA from 1 species
AGGAAUAUUGGUCAAUGGGCGCAAGCCUGAACCAGCCAUGCCGCGUGCAGGAAGACGGUCCUAUGGAUUGUAAACUGCUUUUAUUUGGGAAUAAACCUCUUUACGUGUAGAGAGCUGAAGGUACCAAAUGAAUAAGCACCGGCUAACUCCGUGCCAGCAGCCGCGGUAAUACGGAGGGUGCAAGCGUUAUCCGGAAUCAUUGGGUUUAAAGGGUCCGCAGGCGGACUUAUAAGUCAGUGGUGAAAUCUCUCGGCUUAACCGAGAAACUGCCAUUGAUACUGUAAGUCUUGAAUUCGGUCGAAGUGGGCGGAAUGUGACAUGUAGCGGUGAAAUGCUUAGAUAUGUCACAGAACACCGAUAGCGAAGGCAGCUCACUAGGCCUGGAUUGACGCUCAGGGACGAAAGCGUGGGGAGCAAA